GAUCAUGGCUCAGGACGAACGCUGGCGGCGUGCCUAAUACAUGCAAGUCGAGCGAAGUUUUUCUGGUGCUUGCACUAGAAAAACUUAGCGGCGAACGGGUGAGUAACACGUAAAGAACCUGCCUCAUAGACUGGGACAACUAUUGGAAACGAUAGCUAAUACCGGAUAACAGCAUUAACUGCAUGGUUGAUGUUUAAAAGUUGGUUUUGCUAACACUGUGAGAUGGCUUUGCGGUGCA
rnacentral:rRNA from 1 species